rnacentral:rRNA from 1 species
GUCCACGCCGUAAACGAUGAGUGCUAGAUGCUGUGGGUAUUGACCCCCGCGGUGUCGCAGCCAACGCGUUAAGCACUCCGCCUGGGGAGUACGGCCGCAAGGCUAAAACUCAAAGGAAUUGACGGGGGCCCCGCACAAGCGGUGGAGCAUGUGGUUCAAUUCGACGCAACGCGCAGAACCUUACCUGGGUUAAAUCCACUCAGACCUAGUAGAGAUAUUGGGGUGCCCUUCGGGGAAUGAGUGAGAAGGUGCUGCAUGGCUGUCGU